rnacentral:rRNA from 1 species
AGAGUUUGAUCCUGGCUCAGAUUGAACGCUGGCGGCAUGCCUUACACAUGCAAGUCGAACGGCAGCGCGGGGCAACCUGGCGGCGAGUGGCGAACGGGUGAGUAAUAUAUCGGAACAUACCCUAGAGUGGGGGAUAACGCAGCGAAAGUUACGCUAAUACCGCAUACGCACUAAGGUGGAAAGCGGGGGAUCGCAAGACCUCGUGCUCAUGGAGUGGCCGAUAUCUGAUUAGCUAGUUGGUAGGGUAAAAGCCUACCAAGGCGACGAUCAGUAGCUGGUUUGAGAGAACGACCAGCCACACUGGAACUGAGACACGGUCCAGACUCCUACGGGAGGCAGCAGUGGGGAAUUUUGGACAAUGGGGGCAACCCUGAUCCAGCAAUGCCGCGUGAGUGAAGAAGGCCCUCGGG